UACGUAGGGUGCAAGCGUUGUCCGGAAUUAUUGGGCGUAAAGAGCUCGUAGGCGGUGUGUCGCGUCGGCCGUGAAAACCUGCAGCUUAACUGUGGGCUUGCGGUCGAUACGGGCAUCACUGGAGUUCGGUAGGGGAGACUGGAAUUCCUGGUGUAGCGGUGAAAUGCGCAGAUAUCAGGAGGAACACCGGUGGCGAAGGCGGGUCUCUGGGCCGAAACUGACGCUGAGGAGCGAAAGCGUGGGGAGCAAACAGG
rnacentral:rRNA from 1 species